UAGGGUUUGAUUAUGGCUCAGAUUGAACGCUGGCGGUAACUUUUAAACAUGCAAGUCGAGCGGUAACAGACAUAAAGAUUCAGCUUGCUGAAUCCGGUGCUGACGAGCGGCGAACGGGUGAGUAACGCGUAGGAAUCUACCCAGUAGCGGGGGAUAGCCCGGGGAAACCCGGAUUAAUACCGCAUACGCCCUAAGGGGGAAAGGGGGCAGCUUGCUGCUUUCACUAUUGGAUGAGCCUGCGUAAGAUUAGCUUGUUGGUAGGGUAAAGGCCUACCAAGGCAACGAUCUUUAGCUGGUCUGAGAGGACGAUCAGCCACAUUGGGACUGAGACACGGCCCAGACAUCUACGGAUGGCAGCAGUUAAGAAUAUUGGACAAUGGGGGCAACCCUGAUCCAGGUAUACCGCGUGUGUGAAGAAGGCCCUAGGGUUGUAAAGCACUUUAAUCAGAGAAGAAGCAUUUUAAGUUAAUACCUUAAUAUGUUGACGUUACCUGAAGAAUAAGGACCGGCUAACUCCGUGCCAGCCGCCGCGGUAAUACA
rnacentral:rRNA from 1 species